GGCCAGACUCCUACGGGAGGCAGCAGUGAGGAAUAUUGGUCAAUGGCCGAGAGGCUGAACCAGCCAAGUCGCGUGAGGGAUGACGGCCCUACGGGUUGUAAACCUCUUUUGCCGGGGAGCAAAGAGCGGGACGCGUCCCGCCUCGAGAGUACCCGGAGAAAAAGCAUCGGCUAACUACGUGCCAGCAGCCGCGGUAAUACGUAGGUGGCAAGCGUUGUCCGGAAUUACUGGGUGUAAAGGGAGCGCAGGCGGGAAGCCAAGUCAGCUGUGAAAACUACGGGCUUAACUUGUAGACUGCAGUUGAAACUGGUUUUCUUGAGUGAAGUAGAGGUUGGCGGAAUUCCGAGUGUAGCGGUGAAAUGCGUAGAUAUUCGGAGGAACACCGGUGGCGAAGGCGGCCAACUGGGCUUUAACUGACGCUGAGGCUCGAAAGUGUGGGGAGCAAACAGGAUUAGAUACCCGAGUA
rnacentral:rRNA from 1 species